AGAGUUUGAUCCUGGCUCAGGACGAACGCUGGCGGCGUGCUUAAGACAUGCAAGUCGAACGGGUUCAGUUCCUUCGGGGACUGAGUUAGUGGCGAACGGGUGCGUAACACGUGAGCAACCUGCCCCAAAGUUUGGAAUAACACCGGGAAACCGAUGCUAAUACCAAAUAUGCUCACACUAUCACAAGAUAGAGUGAGGAAAGUUUUUUCGCUUUGGGAGGGGCUCGCGGCCUAUCAGCUAGUUGGUAGGGUAACGGCCUACCAAAGGCAAAGACGGGUAGCUGGUCUGAGAGGACGAUCAGCCACACUGGCACUGAGACACGGGCCAGACUCCUACGGGAGGCGAC
rnacentral:rRNA from 1 species